rnacentral:rRNA from 1 species
CGUAGGAGGCAAGCGUUGUCCGGAAUUAUUGGGCGUAAAGCGCGCGCAGGCGGUUCCUUAAGUCUGAUGUGAAAGCCCCCGGCUCAACCGGGGAAGGUCAUUGGGAACUGGGGAACUUGAGUGCAGAAGAGAAGAGCGGAAUUCCACGUGUAGCGGUGAAAUGCGUAGAGAUGUGGAGGAACACCAGUGGCGAAGGCGGCUCUUUGGUCUGUAACUGACGCUGAGGCGCGAAAGCGUGGGGAGCAAACAGGAUUAGAUACCCUGGUAGUCCACGCCGUAAACGAUGAGUGCUAAGUGUUAGAGGGUUUCCGCCCUUUAGUGCUGCAGCUAACGCAUUAAGCACUCCGCCUGGGGAGUACGGCCGCAAGGCUG